AGAGCGAACGCUGGCGGCAGGCCUAACACAUGCAAGUCGAGCGCCCGUAGCAAUACGGGAGCGGCAGACGGGAUAGUAACACGUGGGAACGCGCCCUUCGGUUCGGAAUAACUCAGGGAAACUUGAGCUAAUACCGGAUACGCCCUUACGGGGAAAGAUUUAUUGCCGAAGGAACGGCCCGCGUCCGAUUAGCUAGUUGGUGAGGUAAUGGCUCACCAAGGCGACGAUCGGUAGCUGGUCUGAGAGGAUGACCAGCAUCACUGGGACUGAGACACGGCCCAGACUCCUACGGGAGGCAGCAGUGGGGAAUAUUGGACAAUGGGCGCAAGCCUGAUCCAGCCAUGCCGCGUGGAUGAUGAAGGCCUUAGGGUUGUAAAGUCCUUUUAACGGGGAAGAUAAUGACGGUACCCGUAGAAUAAGCCCCGGCUAACUUCGUGCCAGCAACCGC
rnacentral:rRNA from 1 species